UGGCCCCUGGUGUAACGGUAGCACAAGCGGCUCUGGACCGCUCAGUCGGGGUUCGAAUCCCUGGGGGCCAGCCA
rnacentral:tRNA from 1 species